rnacentral:rRNA from 1 species
UACGUAGGGGGCUAGCGUUGUCCGGAAUCAUUGGGCGUAAAGCGCGUGUAGGCGGUCCGGUAAGUCUGCUGUGAAAGUCCAGGGCUCAACCCUGGGAUGCCGGUGGAUACUGUCGAGCUCGAGUCCGGAAGAGGAGUGUGGAAUUCCUGGUGUAGCGGUGAAAUGCGCAGAUAUCAGGAGGAACACCAACGGCGAAGGCAGCACUCUGGGACGUGACUGACGCUGAGACGCGAAAGCGUGGGGAGCAAACAGG